AAACGUUUUAAACAAAUGAUAGUAGGUUAGGGGUUGUCCAAUUAUGAGGAAUCGUCCUGUCUGUCAUCUUAUGUAAGAGAUCCAUUUCCCUCGUGGAAUUAUCUAAUUAUUCUCAUCAUCUCAUUUGUCUGUCUCAAUAACAUCGGAGGAUAAUCUUGGUAGAGUGAUCGAGUAAGCUAUCCAUGUUUUCUAGGUUGGUGUUGUUUCCAUUCAGUGUAACUCCUCAGAUUAGUUAAAUGAGCCUCGAUUAGAUGACAUCAGGGCGGCUGAUGAUCACUGCCAUUGAAGACCUCUUUAAGUGUUAGCGCUGUUCUCCUUGAGCUUCCAGGGAAAGAGCUUCUAAUAUGCAGAGUAGUUUUACGCAGCUUUUCAAAUUGUUAUCCGGUCGAGUUUUAUCUCGUUUUCAUUUGCUCGAUUUUAAAGAUCAGUAUCGCUUCAUACAGUUUUCUUAUUGGACUUGGUAAAAGAACCUUUU
rnacentral:lncRNA from 1 species